AAGUCUAAUAUUCUCUCACAUAAGUUUUACUUCAAUCCAACUAGUAGAUUGCAUGAAAACUUAAAAACCCUCACUAGACCUAAAACUCUACUUUCUGAGACCUUGACUCACUUAAACCUCAAUAUCUCUCAGUUCAACCGUUAGAUCAAGCUCAAAUUUACAACAUGUAUUCAACACAACUAUAACCAUAAACCCAAAAAAAUUCAACCAUAGAUCUGCAACAAAACUCUCGAAAUCACUCAAAACAUAAACCCUAUUUUAUUUUAUAAAACCCAAGUCAUCCGAAAAAAAACUCAACUUUGCAAAGCUCUUACAAAUUCAUAUCAACUCCAAAUCACCCAAAAUUAAUGCUUAUAGAAACCCUAUUUAAUCUUCUCUCAAACCCCACUC
rnacentral:lncRNA from 1 species